rnacentral:rRNA from 1 species
UACGGAGGAUCCAAGCGUUAUCCGGAUUCACUGGGUUUAAAGGGUGUGUAGGCGGGAUAUUAAGUCAGUGGUGAAAUCCUACAGCUUAACUGUAGAACUGCCAUUGAAACUGAUGUUCUUGAAUGUGGUUGAGGUAAGCGGAAUGUGUAGUGUAGCGGUGAAAUGCUUAGAUAUUACACAGAACACCUAUUGCGAAGGCAGCUUGCUAAGCCAUGAUUGACGCUGAGACACGAAAGCGUGGGGAUCAAACAGG